UACGUAGGUGGCAAGCGUUGUCCGGAAUUAUUGGGCGUAAAGCGCGCGCAGGCGGUUUCUUAAGUCUGAUGUGAAAGCCCACGGCUCAACCGUGGAGGGUCAUUGGAAACUGGGGAACUUGAGCGCAGAAGAGGAAAGUGGAAUUCCAAGUGUAGCGGUGAAAUGCGUAGAGAUUUGGAGGAACACCAGUGGCGAAGGCGGCACUCUGGGCUGGUACUGACGCUGAGGAGCGAAAGCGUGGGUAGCAAACAGG
rnacentral:rRNA from 1 species